rnacentral:rRNA from 1 species
UGGGGAAUAUUGCACAAUGGGCGAAAGCCUGAUGCAGCAACGCCGCGUGAGCGAUNAAGGCCUGGGUCGUAAAGCUCUGUCCUCAAGGAAGAUAAUGACGGUACUUGAGGAGGAAGCCCCGGCUAACUACGUGCCAGCAGCC